rnacentral:lncRNA from 1 species
UGAAGACUAAAAGCCCAAUCUCCUGCAACAACAACAACCUUUCCCGAUGACUCAGAUGAAUCUCCGGUCACGUCAAAUCCGAUGACCCUGACCAGACCUGCAAACUGCCGGCGAACUGCAGAUUUUCGACCUGAACCGUCUCAAUCGCUAGCUCCAUCAAAGUACCUCAGAGACCUUUCCCUCUUCCUUGCUUCAAACAACCAUGGCAAGAAAAACACAUGUUGCUUCCACUUUUGGAUUUCAAAAAUUAAUUCCUGAAAUUCUCCAUCGCCGACCUCAAGAGCUUUCAUGUUCAUUCUGGACUCGGAAAACUUCAGAGAUUCGCAACAAUUCCCAAGCUUCAAUACCCGAUGACAUCCUAGAAAUACUUCACUGAGUUUAAGAAGAUUUAUUCUAGCUGAUACCAUCACCAUCUCAGCUCGCCGCACGGCUUCACCAGCUCUCUACCGGAAUCUAAAAACCAGUUCCGAAUCACCUCGUCAAUCCGCUUCUCAUCCAGUUCACAAAGAGAUGGAUAGAGUAAAUCGAGAGAGAACACAAUAUUUCAGAUCUUCACUUUACAAGGGUUGAAUAUCAAAGAGCCGAGCUCAGCAAUCCCGCACCAGCAACAAAAGCUAAGUGUCAUCUUCUUUACCAAAUACUAUGAUCUAAAAUCUCAAAGAAAAUAGAUCUCUUCACAAGCUUUCAUCGAAAUGUUGCAGGACUUACAAAAAUCAUAGCUCCGGCUAAAAGACGCUUCAGCAAUAUAAAGUAGCGACAACAAUUAAGAGCUUCAGCUCGUCAAUCCAUCCCGCAUAAGCACAAGUUCAAAAUUUUCUCAGUUCUCUCACCGACCUAAGCCAAAGUUUCAAAGCAACAGUGCAACAUGAAUAUUCUAAGCUCACCGAUCUAGAAGCUAUUCUUAGCUCGUUACCCGAACUCCUUGAUACCCAGGUAUUAUCUAUCAAAAUUAUACAUCUUAUUCAAAGAAUAUUCACCAUUGUCACAGGGUCUGUCCCUCCUCCAAGCCGAACUAAGGUUCGCAUUUAAAAAAAAAAAACAAAAAGAAGAAAAGAGACGGUUCUACAAAGCUCUUUAUAGACGAGCUCCGAGCUCCGAGCUCCUACCUAAACUCAUGCUUCUUGGAAGCUAUUUCUAAACCGAGCUCUGAGCUCUCAUUUCUAAACUAAGCUACUACUGAUACAUUUCAUCAGCCUCAGUCUGCUAGUUUCUUUAUAUCUGCUUCAGCUCGUCAAGUUUUAUAUCAGAAAGUUCGGAUUUCAAUUCAGCUCGGUUUUAGUUCAAAAUUCCAGUUCAGCUCUGAAUAUUAAUUGGGUUUCGAAUCCAGAGCUUCAGUCAGUUUGGUUUUGAAUCAGAAUUUCAGCUCAGUUCAGAACUUCAGAAUUUUUCAGUUCGUCAUCAGAUUUGGACUUCGGAACUUCAAUAUUAUCAGUUUUGUUCAGAAUUUCGAGUUUCAGUUCGAUACAACAGCUCAGUUAGUCAGUUCAGUUCAUCGACUUGAGUCCGUCAUCUCAGAAUACACUCUUCUGCCGAGCUAUACCGCGCUCAAACCUCUUCUAGCUCAUCAACCGAGCUCCUCUGAAAUUCAGGGUCCGUCCCUCCAAGCCGAAGUGACAUGUUCGCAGUCCCAACCGAACUCAUCGGUAUUACAUCGACUUCCUGGCCAGUUGUUCGAUAGCAUUUCUCAACAAUGCAACCUCAAAAAGCCGAGAUCCGUCUCGCAAGCGUCCACAUGGCGCCGUGGUGAAAGAAUCCACAAUUUUUAAAGCCGGGGCCAGUCCCGCAUUACUUAUUCCUAAGUCACCGAGAACAAUAAGCCGAGCCCAUCUCGCACACUCUGGUUCGAUUUAGGAGACCUUGAGUUUGUAUCAUGCGUUUACAAGGGUUCGAUUCCUCACUCUUCCAGUAUGAUAAAACUCACUUGAGUCCCCCAGGCCGAGUUCAUUUAACUCGCACAAAUUAAGCCGAACACCUCAGAUUCGCACCGUAAGCCGAGUUCUCAACACUCGCAAAUGUAAGCCGAAUUAUCGCAAUUCGCAACCGACUGAGUUGAAACUCAUAUAAGCCAAGCUAACAGGCUCGCAAGUCUCCAAUCUCAAUUCACACCGAACUAAAAAUACUCAUGAAAUCCGCCGAACUCUUACACAUACUCUUUCGCCGGACUGAGGGGGGGGGGCUUACUGUUGGUGGUGUACUACGCACCCCCGGUUUAGUCCGGUAUGAACCGAGAUCGGCCCAAUUGAUCCCGAUUUACGAUGGUUCAUAUCUGAAAGACAUUCGACCUGUUAACUGAUUUACAAUAUCAGUUUUUAUAUCCAGACUUUGCGGAAUAUUUCCUAAUCUUAUAUGAAAAAAGGAAAUAUUCCUAAAAGAUAAUUCCCCGAGAAAAAAGGAAGUUAUUAUUAUCUAUUCCGGGAAAUAAGGAAAUAUGCAUUAUCAAGUCAAGAAGGAAAAGGAAAAUCGACCAGCUUCAACUUCUAUAAAUAAAGAGCUCCUCGUUCAUUCAAGGGAGAUUCACAACUCUGCAGAAGACAUAGAAUACAUCUUUUUCUUAUUCUUUCUGUAAUAUGAACUACGAAUGGCUUGAUCCCUCUUUUGGGUACGUAGGCAGCUCAUAUUGAGUUCAGCUAUAACUUUAAUAAAAUCUCUAAAUUUUUUGUGUGAUACUCGGUAUCAACAUUAGUGAGGGAAAAGAAAAACAGAAAGAAAAAGAAACGGAUCAAAAGAGUAUACCUACAAAAGAAUUGCAUAUUUAAACGGGUCGGUGCUUCCGGAAUAGAAAUAAUUGUCGUAGUGGAAAUUACAAUAGUUAAAAUUUAUAAGUAAAAUAAAUAGAGGAUUUUGGAUUAACUUUAAAUAACAAAAGAUCUGAGGAAUUAUCAAGCAAUAAACAGAACUUUUAUUGUCCGAAGAGAUCAAAUGGGAUUAAAAAGCGGUUUUGAACAAGAAAUGCGGAGUAAUCUAUGUUUAGUAUUUAGAAUUCAUUCUUAAGAGUAAUUUUACAAAAGCAAAAACAAAGACUUGUCAAGUGUUUGAGUGUAGAGCUAGUUGGGAUAGAAGAAGUUUUGCUGCUUUUUGCUCUCCUCCGUGUUUGAUAUUUCCAAUUAUUCUGUCUGAUUUGCUAUGGAUAGUUUUAAUUUCGAAGAUUAUCGUCCUUACGUUUAGGUGCAUUAAUUCACAUAUUUGAAUAAUUUUUUGUUCUCGUUGUAGUUGACUACCAGAAUUGCAUUUAUUCUUCUUUGACGUAGAUUUCAAUUGGUAAAAAAAUUAGUCUGGUUCGUCACCUCGUCAGUAUUUUUGAUUUCAUCAGCAUUUUUACCAUUGGUUUAUUGGGUCUACCAUCACAACAGUGCUGAAUGCAAAAUGUUCAAAAUUCAAGUUGGCCAUAAUCAAAAUUUGACGUGCGUUGGACGAACCUUUAACAUUUUAUAUGAAACAUUAUUAACACACUAUUACAUCAUUUAUAUUCCUUUAAACAAUCAAUAACCAAUAAAUCCACCAUUACCCUAUGCACGUCUUCUAAAUGAGACAUUCUCUUUGCCGAUGGCUUGUCCCCAAAACUACAUAUAAUUAUGCAUUUUCCGGGAACUAACAAUAAGUCAGGGGGAUACGUGACAUAUUCUAUUUUUAAGGGAGAGUGUGCUGACGAUGAAAAAUACUAUUUUUGGGAUAAAUAACGGUAGAAAAUAUGGAUACUUGUAUAAACCAAACUAUGCCUUGUGUGAUAUACAGUAUAGGCCUGUUUGUUCAUUGUGUGAUUUUUUAUUAAGUGUAUGAUAAAUUAGAUGAUAUUCUUAGCGUCACAUGUGUUUUAGAUUAGGAAAAUCACUUAGCACCAUUUCCUUAGUUUAACUUUUGGUCAUUUGUACGGUUAGGUAAAGGAGGUGAACCUUUAACGGCGUUGGGGUCGUGAUGUAGCGUCAUGGGUCGAAGUCUAUUUGUGGCAUUGGACAUUUGCACCUUAUUAUUUUUGGACUUGGAUUUACUAUCUUUCUAUUUUUGUUAACCGUAAGGCUUUGGAUUUAAGUAGGUGUGUUGGCUUCUACUAGGGUUUAAUAUUUUUUCUACUAGGGUUUAAUCAUUGUCUUCUUCUAAGGAUUUUAUUAAAAGAUCUUAAACGCUUAGCCUUUGUAUUAAGAAUAACUCUCUUAAAUAUGCUUAGGAAACUUGCUCAAAACCUAAACACCAAAAGCUCAUAUGUAAUGCCACAUCUCGACAUCUAUACAUAUAUAAAACAUAAUUUCCUAUUCCUAAUUAUAUUAGAUAACUCCUAAAGCAACUAGAAACAUCUAGAAACCGACUUAAGUCCUACUUUUCCUAAUCCAACUUGAUUAAAGAUAUCUUGGGCCUGAAGUAAUGUUGAAGCUUAUCCAACAUUCUCCCUCUUAAGCUUCAACCCAUCCUUAGCCAUAUCUUGAAGACCAAUCAAACUCCUCAUUUCGGUAAACUUGAUCCUCGCUAAAGCCUUUGUCAGAAUAUCCGCCUUUUGCUCCGUUCCAGGUACAUGUUCUACUCCAACCUGCUCCCUCUCAAUGCAUUCUCGCACAAAAUGGUAACGCUUGUGGAUGUGUUUGCUCUUGCCGUGAAACACUGGGUUCUUAGUAAGCUCUAUGGCCGAGUUGUUGUCGAUUUUGAUGAUGACUUGCUCUGGUUCUCGUCCUGUUACUUUGCUUAGGACGUCUUGAAGCCAUAUAGCCUGUCUUGCUGUUUCAGUUGCGGCCAUGAACUCAGCUUCACAUGAUGAGAGAGCAACAGUGUCUUGUUUCUGAGAGCACCAUGUUAUAGGUGACUUUCCAAAGUAAAAAAUAUGACCUGUUGUACUUCUUCCAUCAUCAAAGUCGAUGUUGUGACUACUGUCGCUGUAGCCGAUUAACCUCCUUGAUGUGUCACGUCUAAACUUUAACCCAAAUGCAAGUGUCCCUUUUAAAUACCUUAGUAUCUGCUUCAUCAAGUCUCCAUGAGGUUUUCGUGGACUUUGCAUGUAUCUACUUGCAAUACCGACUGAGAACGCCAAGUCUAGGCGAGUGUGAAGCAAAUAUCUUAAGCAACCAACAUUCUGUCUGUAGCUAGUUGCAUCUAUCUCGGGUUCUUCUUCUGCUUUUGAUAUCUUGAGUCCGAAAUCCAUAGGUAUAAGAGUUGCAUUACAUUCUUCAAGUCCAGCUUCCUUUAAGAUCCUUCUCGCAUAUGCCUCUUGUUUAAUCUCAAUUCCAUCAUCUCCUUGGUGAACCUCGAUGCCAAGGUAGUAUGUUAGUUUCCCGAGAUCAGACAUUUCGAAUUUACUCGCCAUUCCUUCUUUGAACUCCUUUAACGACUUUGAGUCAUUGCCUGUGACAAAUAAGUCGUCGACAUAGAUGGCGAUUAUCAGAAAACUUCCCCCUUCCUCCUUUCGAUACACAGAAGUCUCUUCCAUACAUCUCACAAAUUUCAUGCCUUUCAAGAUUUGAUCCAGUUUUGUGUUCCACGCCCUUGGUGCCUGUCGCAAGCCGUAUAAAGCUUUAGAUAGUUUGUAUACUUUCUGCUCUUCUCCUCUUAUUUCAAAACCUUCAGGUUGCUCGACAAACAUGUCUUCUCUUAAUUCACCGUGUAAAAACGCUGUUUUAACAUCUAAGUGGUGAAUUUCCCAUCCAUGUGAUGCAGCUAGAGCCAUUAACAACCUUAUAGUUUCGAGUCUCGCGACUGGUGCGAAUACUUCGUCAAAGUCUACUCCUGAUUCUUGAAUGUACCCUUUAGCAACAAGUCUUGCUUUGUAUUUGUUAAUGGUGCCGUCUGCAUUCCUUUUGAUCUUAAAAAUCCAUUUAAGACCAAUAAUCUUCAUGUUGCUUGGCCGAUCAACAAGAGACCAUGUUUUAUUUUUGUUGAUCGACCGUAUUUCUUCUUCACAAGCUUUCCUCCAUUCCAGAGAACUUUCUGCUUCUUUGUAAUUUCUUGGUUCGCAAUCGAUGGAGAGAAGAAGUCUUUCACAUUCGACCGAGGCUUGCAUCACAAAAUCAUCGAAGUGUUUUGGUUUUCUUGGUUCUCGUGAUGAUCUUCUUAGAACGGGUACCUCUGUUGUUUCUUCUUCGUCAUCAUGAAUAGCUGGAUGUAAUUCCGAAUCAUUAUCAUCACCAUUUCCUUCAUUCUCGAGAUCAUGAGUGCUUUCUUCCUCUGUUUCAUCUGGAUCUUGAGGUCCGAUAAGAACGGGUCCUUCUCCUGUGUCUUCGAUGACUCCCCAUCGCAUAUGGAACAUUCCCGGUUCUUUAUCUGAGUUGCUGUCUACCUCCUUCCAGUUCCAAUUCGUUUUUUCAUCAAAUAUUACAUCUUGGCUUACCAUGAUUCUUCUUCUUGAAGGGUUGUAUAAUCUGUAGGCUUUUGACCCUGGUUCGAUACCUAGGUGGACUAGUGAUAUUGAUCUAUCAUCUAGUUUCCUGAGAUUUCCAGAAUCAACCUUUGAGUAAGCUAUACACCAGAAGAUUCUUAGAUGUUCCACACUUGGUUUUUUUUCUCGUAAGCUCUCGUAUGGAGUUAUGUUGUUGAGUGCCUUUGUGGGAAUUCUGUUAAUCACAUAAGUAGCAUGUCGUACAGCUUCUCCCCACAAAUAGUUUGGAACAUUCUUAGCUUUAAGCAUGCUUCUUGUCAUCUCCAUUAAAGUUCUGUUUCUUCUUUCGACAACGCCGUUCUGUUGCGGAGUGUAAGGUGCCGUCAACUGUCUUUUGAUCCCAUGUUCCUCACAGAAAGAUUGAAACUCCUUGGAGGUGAACUCUCCUCCCCUGUCUGUUCUAAGUGUGAUGAUCUCUUUUCCGAGUUCUUUUUCGACCAAGCAUUUGAACGCCUUGAAUCUGUUAAAGGCCUCGCCCUUUUCUUUCAAUAAGAUUGUCCACAUGUACCUUGAGAAAUCAUCUAUGAUAACGAAGACAUAUCUGUUUUGUGCAAGCGUAGCAGGUGUUAUCGGUCCACAAAGAUCAGCGUGAAGGAGUCCUAGUGGUUCUUCUGCUCGAUACAGAGUUGCUUUUGGAAAACUCUGCCUUGUUUGUUUCCCAACUAAGCAUGAUUCACAGAUUUUCUUUUCAUCCUUUGUUGCUGGUAAGCCGUGCACCAUCUUUUUUUGGGACAUGUCUUUGAUUGUUUUGAAGCUUACAUGCCCAAGUCUUGCGUGCCACUUCCAUGUUUCAUCUUCUAUCUGCGAGUAGAGACAUGUUGGUUUCCCAAUCUUGAGUUCGAUUUUAUAUAGCCGAUUAGGUGACCUUUGAACUUUUACAAGAAGUCUGUUGUUUGUGUCAUGAACGGUCAGAUAAUCCUGCUUCAUUCGAACAUCACACCCGAUCUCGGUAGCUUGCUUUUGAGUUCGGGAAUGAAGUAUAUGUCUUUGACAAGAAUCUGUUCAUCAGUUUUGCUUUGAAACAAUAUGGAUCCCUUUCCUUCGAUCUUUACGCAUGAUCCGUCUCCAAACUUUACCUUUCCUUUGAUGCUUUUGUUAAGUUCAGAGAAGUAUGUUUCAUUACCGGUCAUAUGGUUACUCGCACCAUUGUCGAGAUACCACAUACCUUCCUCGCCCUUGUAGUUCUUUGGUAUAAGUUUGUCUUCAUUCAAGAAAACAAUCUCAUGCAUAUACAGUGUAGCAUCAUCAUCAGCUUCCUCUGUUUCUGUGAUGUUUGCUUCUUGUAAUUUUCGAAUCCUUUCAGGGCACUUUGAGGCGAAGUGACCAGCUUGAUCACAGCGAUAGCAGAUCACACUUGAAAGAUCUCUUCUUUCCUUGUUUUGCCCGCUUUGAUUUGACCUGUCUUGAGAGUUGAAUCGACCUCCUCUCCCUUUUCCUCUAUAGCCUCUUCCUCGUCCUCUUCCAUACGAAGUUUGUUGUUCUGAGUUGGCGUACAACAGUUUGCUCUGCGUAUCGUCUUGCUUGUCAUCGUCGACAAUACGUUCCUCAUAAGCUUUAAGUCGACCAACGAUAUCUUCAAAACUAGUCGCCUUUAGAUCCAGAACUUGUUCCAAUGAGGCAAUGAUGUGAAUAAAUUUGUUUCUCGGUAAACCGUUGAGAAACUUCUUCACUAGUUUGGGCUCGUCGAUCGUCUCUCCAAGUGCUGUUGUUGUUGAUGAUGCAAUCUCCGACAACUUCCCAGAAAAAUCAUCGAUUUUUUCUGUUUCUUUCAUCUUCAUUCUUUCAAACUCUGCCAUUAGGGUUUGAAGUCUUGCUUCCCUGACUCGCUCAGCUCCUAGAUUCCGAGAUUUUAUUGCUUCCCACACUUCUUUAGGAGAAUUUUUCUCACCGACUUGUAAGAUCAAGUUCUCCGGGAUGGAUUGGAAGAGUAAUCCUGUUGCAAUGUCAUUCUUAGUGGAAUCUGCUGACCCUGGAUCAAUGGUCUCCCACACUUUAUGAACUCGCAACAGCACCCUCAUUUGCAUUGCCCACACGGUGUAAUUGGUGGUUGUAAGCAUCGGACAUUGUAUUGAGUUCGGAAUCGUCUCUUUUUUUUGUGCCAUCGGAAUCACAUCUCCCAUGCUUUGUGUAUUGGAUUAUCUUCGUGUUUCAAAGCUCUGUAAUUUCGGAUCGUGUUUCAAAGCUCUGAUACCAAAUAAAAGAUCUUAAACGCUUAGCCUUUGUAUUAAGAAUAACUCUCUUAAAUAUGCUUAGGAAACUUGCUCAAAACCUAAACACCAAAAGCUCAUAUGUAAUGCCACAUCUCGACAUCCAUAUAUAUAUAAAACAUAAUUUCCUAUUCCUAAUUAUAUUAGAUAACUCCUAAAGCAACUAGAAACAUCUAGAAACCGACUUAAGUCCUACUUUUUCUAAUCCAACUUGAUUAAAGAUAUCUUGGGCCUGAAGUAAUGUUGAAGCUUAUCCAACAUUUAUUUCUUAGUUGUUUUCUAUUUAAAGAUACCUUAUGAUUGUAAGGAACGGUGGUUGUUUUUCGGCAUUCCUUUGAGGAAUCAUCGAAGUGAUCAAGACGUACGACAAGUGAUUCAGUUAUUAUUUUGAAUUAACGAACCCUUGUGUUAUCGUUAUAAAAACCUAAUGAAACGUUAAGUUGUUCCAACAAUCGUAGCUUCGGUCAAGUUGAUUAUGUAGAACUCAAAAGCUUAAAGAACUGCACUUCUUUAUUAGAUUUAGAAAACUCACACAAAAACUAAAUCUCUCUCUUGAAGUCUUGUAGAACAACUCUCUACUUAGAACUUCUUAUAUAGGUAUAAGCGACAUCCUAAACCUAUUAGGAUUACAAACCAAUUUCCAUAUUUGUAAAACCUAUUUUCCUUUUCUCUAUUUCUCUAGAAACUUCCACUUUCUAAAGAAACUUAUUCCCCAAGUUCUGGAAUUAUCCAACAUUCACCCCCGUAAUUCCAACAUGAAUUGCAGGGUCUUCGAUUGCUUGUACUCCGAUCAAGUUCCUCAUUUCCUUGAAUUUGAUUCGGGCUAGUGGCUUCGUAAUUAUGUCCGCCUUCUGUAGUGUGCCAGGAACAUGCUCCACUUCUAUUUGAUCAUUCUCCACACACUCUCUAACGAAGUGAUACAUCUUGAGAAUGUGUUUGCUCCUUCCAUGAAAAACCGGAUUCUUGGUUAGAGCAAUGGCUGACUUGUUGUCAAUCCUUAGUGUGACCUUCUCGUCAUUGUUAAGUAUUUCUCGCAUUAACUCCUUAAGCCAUAUAGCUUGCUUUGCGGCUUCUGUAGCUGCCAUGAACUCAGCCUCGCAAGACGACAACGCGACGGUGGGUUGCUUCUGUGAUGUCCACGUGAUUGGUGAUGUUCCGAAGUAGAAGAUGUGGACUGUCGUGCUUCUUCCAUCAUCGACAUCAAUGUUGUGACUGCUGUCACUAUAUCCAAUCACUUUAUUUGAUCCGUCUCUCCUGAAAAACAAACCCAAGUUGGUAGUUCCCUUUACAUAUCUUAGUACUUGUUUAAGAGCUUGGCCGUGACUUUCUCUCGGAUUUUGCAUGUAUCGACUUAGAACUCCAACAGCGUAUGCCAAGUCUGGUCUCGUGUGAAGCAGGUACCUCAAGCAUCCGAUGCUUCUCCUGUAUGCCGCGGCAUCAAUCUCUGGCUCACUUUCUGCCUUUGAGAGCUUUAUGUUUGCAUCCAUUGGAACUUGUGUGGGAUUACAUGUAUCCAUCCUUGUAUCUAAGAGAAUUCCUUUUGCAUAACCCUCUUGUUUUAUGCGAAUCCCAUCAGCUCCUUGAAUCACUUCAAUUCUAAGAUAGUAUGUCAGUUUGCCGAGAUCUGACAUCUCAAAUUCUCUUGACAUAUCUUUCUUGAAUUGAUUGAUGAUUUUUAACGAGGUUCCUGUCACGAACAAGUCAUCUACAUAUAUUGCCACGAUCAAGUAGUCUCCCUUAUCCCCUUUGAGAUACACGGACAUCUCUUUCACACAUCUCUUGAGACCCAUCUCUUUAAACACACGAUUAAGUUUCACAUUCCAUGCUCUAGGAGCUUGGCGCAGUCCGUACAAGGCUUUGUGAAGACGGUAGACUUUGUUUUCUUCUCCUUUCUUUUCAAAACCUUCAGGUUGACUUACAUAGACGAUUUCACUAAGCUCUCCGUUUAAGAAAGCCGUCUUGACGUCUAAGUGGUGUAUCUCCCAACUUUUUGCUGCUGCAAGUGCUAUGAGAGAUCGUAUGGUUUCAAUCCGAGCGACAGGGGCAAACGCUUCUUCGAAAUCAAUGCCUUGUUGUUGUACAUAGCCUUUUGCUACUAGUCUUGCUUUGUACUUGCUCACCGAACCAUCUGCUUUUCUUUUGAUCUUAAAUAUCCAUUUUAAACCUAUUGGCUUCACCCCAUCUGGUUUGUCAACAAGCUCCCAAGUCAUAUUCUUCACGAUUGAAUCUAUUUCAGCCAUCAUAGCUUUAAUCCAUUCACGAAGAUCCUUAGCUUCCCAAUAGCUUUCUGGCUCGCCAUCAAUGGUGAACAACAGUUUCUCACUUUCCAAGUCAGCGAGAAGUAUGUAGUCAUCGAGAUAUCUCGGUUUAUUGAUUGUGCGACCAUAUCUUGUUACAUACGGUUGGUUUUGAGCUGCUUCUUGUUGUUCCCCAUUGUCAUUGUCAGCCUCUGCUUCUUCAUUCUGAUUCUCAGGUAGCGGUUCUUCUUGAUAAUCCUCAUUGAUUCCUUGAUUAUCAUCAUGUGCAUUUCCAUCUUCAAUGACACCAUUAACUGUAAGCUUAAACAUACCAGGUUCUCCGCUUUCUUGUUGUGAUGUCGAUGACCAGUCCCAAGCUUUCUUCUCAUCAAAUAUUACAUAUCUGCUUACAAACACCUUUCUCGUGGUUGGAUCAAAGAGACGAUACGCUUUGGAGCCUUGUUCAGUUCCGAGAUUGAUCACAGAUCGUGACCUAUCAUCUAGCUUCUUAAGGUGAGGACCAGUGAUCUUUAUAUGUGCGACACAUCCGAAAACCCUUAAGUGUUCAAUGUUUGGUUUCUUGGACAUGAGACACUUGUAUGGUGUUUGAUCUUUCAAAGCUUUUGUAGGGACUCGGUUGAUGAGAUAUGUAGAGUGACGGACAGCUUCUCCCCACAUAUCAUUCGGAAUUUUCAUUGCCUUGAGCAAACUUCUUGUCAUCUCCAUUAAAGUGCGAUUUCUCCUUUCUACGACACCAUUCUGUUGAGGCGUGUAUGGUGCAGUUAGGUGACGGUUAACUCCGUUUUCUUCACAAAACGAGUUAAAUUCAUUCGAGGUAAACUCUCCUCCUCUAUCGGUGCGAAGAGUUUUAAUAGAUUUCCCCAAUUGCUGCUCCACGAAAUCUUUAAAUCUUUUGAACCGAUCAAACGUCUCACUCUUCUCCUUUAACAACAUUGUCCACAUGUAUCUUGAGAAAUCAUCAAUUAAUACGAAAACGUAUCGAUUGUUUGCUAGUGUUGGCGGUGAGAUAGGUCCGCACAAGUCUCCGUGAAUUAACUCCAAUGCUUGAGUUGCACGGUAUGACGCUUUGAUUGGGAACGAUUUUCUGGUUUGCUUCCCAACUAAGCAUGCGUUACAGAUGCUUUCCUGCGAUUGAAUCUGCGGCAAUCCAAUGACCAUCUCCUUUUUCACCAUGUUAUUCAAAACACCAACACUUAUAUGACCAAGCCGUGAGUGCCAAGUCAUUUCUUCAUCAUCGUUUUGUAUUUGUAGACACUUCGGAAAGCUUAUUUCCAUAGGUGUCUUGUAGAGACGGUUUGGUGAUCGUAUGACCCUUACUAGCAGCCUUCCUUGUGCAUCAUUCAACGUGAGAGCUUCACCUUUCAUGUUGACUUCACACCCAUGUUCUGUUGCUUGUCCAAGACUUAUGAUGUUGUGUUUAAGUUCAGGUAUAUAGUAGAUGUCUUUGAGUGCUCUCUUGUCGCCAUUCUUGCUCACAAAAACUAUAGUACCUUUUCCCACAAUAUCAACAUAUGACCCAUCACCAAACUUCACUUUUCCUUUUAUGUUUUCAUCUAGGCUCAAGAAGAACUCUUUAUUCCCUGUCAUGUGAUUACUCGCUCCAUUGUCAAGAUACCAAAUACUUUUGCUGUUGGUAUCAUACACCUUAGGGAAUACCUUUUCUUCAUUCAAAAACACCACCUCGUGUAUGUAAAGCGCGUCAGCUUCUUGUGUUUCAUUCAAAUUUGUUUCUUGCGUUUCUGCAG